rnacentral:lncRNA from 1 species
UAAUAGAUGACAUAUGAGUCAUGAAUGGAUUAAUAAUCAUAUAGAAUAGAAAUUGCUCUAAGGUAAGAAAUACAGACGCAUCUAUUUUAAAGCAAGAUGAGGAUACUAUCAAAACCUAGGGGCACCUGGGUGGCUCAGUCAGUUGAGUUUCCAGCUUCGGCUCAGGUCACGAUCUCACAGUUCAUGGGUUCAAGCCCCACAUCAGGCUCUGUGCUGACAGCUCAGAGCCUGGAGCCUGCUUCAGAUUCUCUGUCUCCCUCUCUCACUUCCCCUCCCCCGCUCAUGCUUUGUCUCAUUCUGUUUCUCAAAAAUAAAUAAAUGUAAAAAAAAAAAAAAUUAAAAAAAACAAACAAACCUAUUUGCUAUUAUCCUGGAAGUACCAGCCAAGGAAGUUAAGCAAGAAAAGCAUAUUAUAUGUGUUGGAAAGAAAUAGGUAACAUAAAUAUUAUUUACCCUGAUAUAAAAAAAAAAUACUGGACUACUCCAGCCAAAAUACAAUUGAAAACAAUAAGAGAAUUCAAUAAGAGGACUGGGAACUAAGUUAAUUACAAUAAUUAAGGGUUUCCUUAUCUUUAAAAAAUAUAGCCAGCUUAAAAUAAAUAGAAGAAAAUACCUAAUUCAAAUUAUCAGCCUAAAUAGUAAAAUAUGUAGAGAUAAUGUAGGAUCUAUAUUGAAAAACUUAAGACUCUAUUAAAAUUUUCAGUUAAGCGAAAUGGUUGGACUGCAUGCAUUUAAUUCCUCUCCUUCCAGAGAGGAAUUCUUAUCAUUUAAAGACUAUAAAUAUCAAGAAUAUUAAGAAUUCUUAUAAUUUAAAUUCUUAUUAUUUAAAGAAUAAACCACUUUAAACCCAGGGGUUGAAGAGAAUGAGAGAAGUAACGGUUGAAUGAAAAUGGCAACCGAUUUAUGGCAGAAAGGAGGCAGAUGGAGAGGGGUGAGGCCUUAAAGGAGCAGCCGAACUGCCAUCUACAGAGCAGAACGUUGGCUGCGCUCGCGGCUCUCAGAGCAUCUCCAACUCAAUGUGGAGGAAUCUGGUGCCACCGAGAAUGGGGUGACAGUGGGAUCGCACACACGCAGAGGCAGAUGCCUGGACUGUGCGUGCUGAUUCCUGCUGGGCCCCUGGCUGAUUCUGCUCCGCAAUGAAUGCGGCCCGCGUACCCACUCCCACUCGAGACCCUGAAGGACUGUGUGGAUGGAAAAGCUCAAACUCCGAGUCCAGGUAUACAGAGAUAGAGAUAGGGGCUAGGGGCUAGGGAUAGGGCUAGGGGUUAGCGGAUGAGGAUAGGGUAUAAGAAUAGGGGAUAGAGAAUAGGGAUAGGGGAUAGAGAAUGGGGAUGGGGGUAGGGAUGGGAAAUAGGGAUAAGGAGAGGGGCAGAGAUAGGGAUAGAAAUGAUAAAGAUAGA